rnacentral:rRNA from 1 species
UUCGGACUGCAGCCUGCAACCCGGCUGCACGAAGCUGGAAUCGCUAGUAAUCGCGGAUCAGCAUGCCGCGGUGAAUACGUUCCCGGGUCUUGUACACACCGCCCGUCACACCAUGGGAGCCGGAAAUGCCCGAAGCCUGUGACCCAACCCUUAAGGGAGGGGAGCAGCCUAAGGCGGGGGCCGGUAACUGGGGGUGAAGUCGUAACAAGGUAAC